UGGAAGGAGAGGACGGUAGCCAAGCUGCUGGUGGCCAGUUCGUGUGGGGUUGCAGGCUGCAGGAGGAAGUGUUGUUGUACCACAGGUGCCGUGAACAGGGUAGGUGGUAGACAGGGACAGUUCUGGCAGAUGUUCGGUAUGACCCAAAUGACAUUCAGAAGGCUCACUUUGAAUUUCUGUAUGGAGAAGACGCUAAGGAGGCUAGAACCAAGUGAGGAGACCAUAACAUGACUUCUUGGUGGUCAGAACACCAAAAGGAUCACCAUCACGCCUGGAGAGACAGGGCAUGGGAAGAAACAAGGUCAAAGAGGCUUCCAUGACAGUUGUUCGGAACAACUAGAGGAGAGAACUUGAAGUGAGGAGGACCAUGGGAAGAAAGUUUCCAGGCGGAUCCGUUGCUGCUCAUCCUUGGACACCAGCCCAUGAGGUACCAAGUGGGUUGGGGGGUAGAGACAUAUGGACUAGAGACGGAGCUUGGGGGUCACCAGCACGAUGACCACAGUUGAAGCUACAAGCCCGGAUGUGAGGUGGGAAAGCAAGAGAGGUGGAAGGUUGGGGUUAGGAGGUUCUCAGAAUAGAAAAGACAAAGGGGAAUAGCGUUGAAGAACAACUUACCAGACCGAUGGGGAGAAGCAAGGGAAGACGGAAUCCUAGGUGCAAGUCAGGAUGCUUCCCAAGUUUGCUAAUCAUAAAAUAGACAUGCUAAAGUUUGAAUCGCAAGUGUCUCACCACAGCCUGGAGCUAUCGAGAGAUGGUAGAAACUUGAAGGGGUGGAGCCUAAUGCAAAACUUGUAGAUGCCCCACAGGGGAUUGCGGCGCUAGGGUCUCUUCCCUUUCCAUGUAUAUUCAUAUGUGGGCAUGUAUGCAUGAAUGUAUGUGUCUUGGUCCUCAGGCAAGUGCUUUUCGAAUUUAAUUUGGGACGCUUGUCUGGGAUAGCUUCCAGAGUGGAUUUCAGCUGAUCCUGUCUCAACCUCUUGAGUGCUGAGGUUACUGAUAUGGAUACCAUAACUGCCUAAACUUUCAUUUUUCUUAGUUACCUAUGUCAGGGCACCUGUAAAAGUUGGCCCUAGGCUGAGUUUCCUUAACUGCAAAACAGCAGCAAUAAUGUUUUUCUUUAACAGUAGUUUUUAGGCGAUUUCACAAAAAAACUUCAUAAAGAAAGAGUCCUGUAUGUCGUGCCAGCCAUGUCUGUGAUUGUUCUCUCUCUCUCUCUCUCCCUUUUUCUUUGCCCUUUCGUUUCUCAGUCUUUAAUUGUCCCCUUCCAAUCUACCUUUCUUUUUUUUCUUUCUAUGGAGGAAGCAGCUGUUUUAUGUCAGCAUUUUGCUUGGGAAAACCCUGCCUUCUCUGUGUGUAAGGAGAUAUUAACCGUGGGCUUUAUUCUUUCUGACUUUUGAGUUUUGGCCACGGAUCCAAAGGCAGGGAACAGUGGAUUCCAGAUCUACCAUCAAACAUUAACCAAGAUACCUGAAGCAAAAUUGAUGGCCUUUAGCCCUGGGCUCACUUUGAGAUAUUUAAGAAAUUCUGAAAAAACUCACAGGGGCAGAAUUUCCUUGAAAAACACUCUCAGGCACUGGCACAUUUCUUGCAAAGCCAAGUGAGAAUGACUUCAAGGGACCUCUCAGAGACUGGCCAUGAGUCUCCGGGAUAUUUUGGAGUUUCUGGAAGCUGGUUUCUCACACCUGUCCAAAAAUCUAAUGGCUGGAACUUAGCUGAACAGCUGAGCAGGGUUAGUGUAGGAAAAGGCUUGACAAAAAGCUGAGGACUCAGGACUAUGUUCUUCCGAGAACAAAGUGUAAGGAAUCUCACAGAGCACUGGACAGAGGUUUUACUGGGAUGGUAAAACAGUACCAGCUGUGGGCCAGCGGUCAUCAGAUGCAUGGUGGUCAUAAGAGCAACAUGAGAAGGUAUUGCUCAAGUCAGAAACAAGACUCUCCUAGAUGGGGACUUCAGAGUUAGACGUCCUAGGUUCAAACCCCCGCUUUGCCACAUCCUAACUAUGGGUCACGAGGUAGGAUCUCGUAAGUGUGCUAGUCCUCCACUCCCAUGCAAUGUAAGUUCAGGCAUAGGGAAUAGAUUUACUAGACAAAGCACAGUCGUGCAGUUCUCUGCAAUGUUUUAUUCUCCUCCUUUCUGCCACGGGCUCAAAUCUGCAGUGAGCUGGAGGGAAUGUUCAGAGGAAGUUGCCUUUCUGCAGAAAAGAUUCUUAGGCUCCAUCUUCCUCUACACCUGCCCCCAGCUAAGCGUUCACUGCAAGGCACACUCAAGUGAGGGAAUGGAGAAGCUUUAAACAAAUACUCAAGAAUUAAGUACGAGGAGGUGGAUAAGACCCUGGAAUGAUCCAGCUUGUAGCUGUCAGUAUCUGGUGUGCUGGAACACAUGGGAGAGAGACUAUAAAAACAGUCUGAGAUAUCACUGAGGUAGAAAGGACCAAGGCCACUGGAGCUUGAAGGAGCAACUGACCAUGUCCAAUAAACUAAGGGAACAAAUACAAGCUUAAGGAUCGCCUUGGAGCUAGCUUUGUUAGUAAUUGCUUCCAGUUCUUCCCAGAGGCCUUUGGGACAGAGGCAUUCCCUUUAACCUUUUCACUGCCAAGACUUGAAAAACAAUGGUGUUAUGUCUGGGGCUAGUCCCUUCUCUUUGAUGACAUGAAAUGCUGGGCUUUGCUGUUGGGGCCACAAAAGUCCUAACACCCACAGAUCACUAAGGAAACCAGGAAUUUGAAACACACAGGGAGAGACCUCUUCUCAAUGGAGGAGAUGAUAAAAUGCUUGCUUUCCUACCCAGGUGGCUGGAAGUGGAUUUUGUUAAUGAUCUGGUAACCAUUUUGCUGUCUGUGGAGGCAGACCUCACCCAAAUUCUCCAGAAUGAUUAUCCUAGACUCUCCCCUUCCUAGGACAUUACCCAACCUUAGGGGACAUGUCCCACGCACUGUAUGACCCGCUGACCUCUAUGGUAUUGGUCAGAGACCACACUAGAUUCCAGACAGAACACCCUCAGGGCCACAUGUAAGGAGUUUCUAUGUAGUCACACUUUAAGCUUUAUUGGACAACUGGAACUGGAAUAAUUAUGGGAAUUAUUGUUGCCUGGAAAACUUUUUCCAAAUUCUGUUAUGUUUCAAUGUGCCUACAAUAAACCUUCUGGCAUUAGACUCCCCAAAGUCUGAUCCGGGUUGACGAAGUCAAUCUGAACCUUGCCUGGAUACCUGCAGGGAGCCUCUCAUCUUGUUACUUCUCUGUGAGAAACCUGGGUGUGUUCUGAGAUGGUGUAGGGUGGGAAGUGUGAACCUUCAUCCGAGUCAUCCUCAGAGAAACCUUAAGAGCCUUUCUGCCAGUUUUGAUUUUUGCAUCGUGUAGUUUUUCUUUAUUGUGACACCAACCCCCCCCCCACACCACGAGAGAAUCAUCUUAAAAAGAGGGAAGGGCGAUGCUGGCUCAUAGCUGUGGACGGAGGUUGUCCCACUGUCUGCACUUGAGAUGGAGGGAGCACGCAGCAAAGAGAGCAGCUCACCAUUUGACACCUCAAAAACAAAGAGAGAUGGGAGAGGGCCAGAGUCCAAAUGCCCCUUCAAGGGUGUAUCCCCUAAAGCCUGACUACCUUCUUCAAGGCCCCAUCUCUUAAAGGUUCCACCCUUUCCUCGUUGCCUCAGGCUAGAGACAAGAUUUUUAACAACAUAGGCCACUGGGCAACAUUUGCCCUGUAAACUGUAGCAGAUUAGGAAAAAUAUUACUGAGUUAUUCUGCCAAUUACUGAAAUAUUUCUCUGUUUUCCUCAGAGUCCUUAUCAUUCUUUAUUCUUGGGUGAUUUUCUAAUGUCAUUGAUUAUGAGUUUGGGGACCCUGUUUCUACAACUAAGCCUCCAGUGUUUGAAAUGUCCAGCGGAAAUCUGAAGCUGCCCCUGAAGUACAUACAAGCCUCCCUUUGCUAACUGUUCACGUAUUUCUGUUCAGCAAAUAGCAGCUACCAGCUGUGAUUAAAAUAUGGAGCCAGUGCUUUUGGACUGACAAGGGGGGCAGUCUUCCUGCAGGACAGAUGGCACCUUCAGCAUGACUCAGACUGGCCGUCUAAGCCCGUGUGGCCUUGGAUGUGUGCCUAAGGUCAAGGGUCCAGUGUACAUGCAAGCAGGCAUAAGGCCAGCACAACAGAUGGAGGCGGAUGGGGAUAGCCGACCAGCCACGUGGGGCCUGAAGAGUCCUUACCUAGGGAGUGAUGGCGGCGUUCACUCCCUCCCCCAAAGAUGUCCCAGGACUUAGACACAGAGAUGAUGGCUUGUCACAGGAAGGAGACAUUGAAAGGGCACUCUCUUCCUGUCCCCGGUUAGAUGCCCUCAGAUGUGGUAUCAAGCAAGCAAAAGACUCUUGGACUUUAACUGGAUUGGCCAGAAAGCCUGGGUUGGGUCAGACAAUGGAGGCUUUCCUAAUUUAAGAGCCUCCCCCUUCUGGCCACAUCCUAAGGGUGGAAGGUGGUCUCAGCCACAUGCCUUUCUCUUCUGUGUAGUCCUUGGUGGUCUGCUGGAAGGAGAACAGUGGGUGCGGCAAGGCAGCCUUCAUCAUAAAAGAAAUGCAUUUUCAGGUCUCCCCCUGCUUCUGUGGCAGCAUUUUCUUCCUUGUUCUCAGCACGGCUUUGUGCCAUAAAGUCCUGUAUAUUGUAUAGCCAGAGUUGUCUCUGUGUGUCAGCUGCCUUGGCCAGGUAUCAAUCACCCUGUUGUCUGCCAAUCAAGUUUCUGUUGCUAUAACAAAUGCCCAAAGUAAAUGAACCUAAAAUGGAAAAAGGUGUAUUUUGGCUCACUUCUUUGGAGGCUUCCAUCCAUGAUGAUGCGUCCUCAUUCUGGAACAUGUGGUCAGACAGCAUGUCAUGGGUGGAGCAUGUGGUGAGGGAGGCUGCCUGCAGCCUGACAUCUGGGAAGAAGAGAGGUCAGAGCUAGGGCCCUUCAAAGGCACCUGCACCAACCUUAUUUCCUCCAAGUAUGCAGCAGUUCCUCAAGAUUCUGUUAACUAAUAAUGUAAUAGGCAGGAGGCUAAGACUUUCAGCACAUGGGCCUUUAGGAUACUCUUAUCUAGGCCUCAGCACAUCACAGAUAGGAAGGAUUGAGACACUGUGUGUCUAUCUUCAGGUCUAAAGUUAUGUUUGUUCAACCAGCAGCGCUAUUGUCUGGCCAAGACGGCUGGAAAUGAUGAACUUCCAGUAUGCAUGAAGGAGCAAUAAGGACAUCAGAACCAUUCUAGGGAGACUGAGAAGCAAUCUUGAGGCUUUGUAGAUAGGGAGGAAAGAGAAAGGGAUGGAGCAGACAUGAUCAGGGCAGACUCUGGAUGGAAAAUAUCAUGUACCAUAACACAUACUCAUUCUUCCUCACUCCAGGUGACAGCAAAGGAAAACAAGAAAGCAGGAGGAGGGAAUUGACAGUUGUAUUUUUUUCAGAUUCGCUUCUACUCUGACCUGUGUAUCUGAGCUUCAAGGCAUGGCCUCCUCCUCAGAGAAGGUGUCUUUCAAUGGUAUGCACUCUCUGUUAGGAUGAGCAAAGAACCUACGUGUGGCAGACUGGGCGAGCAGUUGGCUCCCAACCUCCAGGCAGCUAUAAAAUGCGUGUGGACGGAGAGAGUCUCAAGCCCCACUCAGGACUGAGCUCUUAGCCUCCUUCCUUGGUUUCUCUUUAGAAAUUACUGAGCAAACCUCAUCAUUUGCUGGAUGUUAUGCUUCGCACCUUAUAGCUGUGAACUCAUUUAGUUCUCAUAGCAACCCCUCUGACGCGGGUACCAUUAUCACCCGCAUCCCACAAGGCCACCGUUACUCCAGAGCCCACAUCCCUGCCCUGUAGACUGGUCAAGUCUUACCUACAAGGCGUUGUUUCUACUCUGCAGCUACAACCACCCAGCAAUUCACAUCUCCUUGGCAAGGCUUGGUGAGGGGCUGACUAGGGUAAGGAUUUUGUGAUUCUCUUUCCCUCCCAGGGGGUACCCCAAAGCAUGGUACCUACUUUGCACUUAGUGAAUGUGUUUUUCAACCACAGCUCCUAGCCUCCGCCAGUUGGACCGCUCUGUUCUCCAUGGUACAAGUUGUAGAAUAAACAGUUUGGGCUUUUUGUUUUGCAUCCCAGCUGCUGCUCAGGCCGUUUGCCACACUCCAGGGUCUUGGUACCCUGGCCUCCUCCUGACUGUUUAUUGCUGCAAGAAGCGUCUCUAGAACUGCCAGCUAGGUGUGACCAACCUCUCUUGGGUCUGUUUGUUCCACCACAUGUAGUCACCCACUGCAAAAAGUGGUGCCCUUAAAGGUACCUCCUCCCCCAAGACUUCUCUCCUCUGCCCUGGGAAGUUGCCUAGCAACCUCCCUCUUCCUUCUCUCCCCCACGCGCUUGUGCAGCUCCGUUCUCAUUUCCAUCACUCAGGCACCCACCCCCGACUUCUCUUCAGUGCCAUUAAGCUGCACGUCUCUGCUUCAGGAGCCCACUAUCCAGCUUCCACAGGCUGCAUGAGAAAACAAGCCUACGCUGAAGCACCCUUUCUUUCCCUUCUCUCCGACGGUUCUGGGAGACUCUUCACACCACCCUUUCAGUCUGAACCUCCAGAGCAAACCACCAAAGAAGGAGGCAGAAGCAAAAGGCAAACCAAGGCAAAGCACAAAGAAACAAAAAUCACCAAAAACAAAUGAAAUUUCCUAAGGUGUUUACCCAGACAUCAGAUAGCUCUUUUUAUCCCCACCCGUGGAGAGUAGUCUAUAUUAUGCUAUUAUAGGCUGGGUAAGUGAUGGCCUCAGGAGCAGUAUUACAGUAUUAUUACUUAUUCUGGAGCCAUGGCAGAGCUUUCUUCUCUUAUCCACUUCAUGGUCUGGAAGAAAUGAAGUCCCUCUCUUGUCUUGAAGGUCAUUCAACAAGGUCAUGAUACUUUAGGGUAUGUCUGCCACCAUUUGAUUGCUAUUGACUAACAGACAGCAGGUAGUUCCUUGCUAAGUCUGCCUCUGCCACGCACCACGCCCCCGUGUCUGCGCUCUGUGCACUAUUACCCAGUUACCGAGCUUCGGGCAAGGGGCUGGAGGUUAAAAUACACAGACACACACAGACAGAGACAGCGACAUGGGUCAUCCUUGAAUUCCCCAAGAAUGUCUCCUUUAUUGUGUUCAGGGGCAGAUUAUAUAGAGAUAGCCACACACCAGUCAAACCCACCAGAAACCACUCUCCUGCCAUCAGAAACUCCUGAAGGUUUCAUGCUCAGAGCAGCUGUAGGCACUCAGAUCAGGGGAUUACAAGAAAUUCAGGAUCUGGGGUCUCACUGCUCCCAACACGCCUCCUCACAGAGAAAGAUGGUCUUUUAGGGAAACCCCUUCUUGACAUCAGUCAAGACAGCUAUUUGGCUUAGCCCUGACUUUUCAACAGCAAAAAUUCACUUCUCUGCCCUGAAUUUAGAUCUAAUUGUAUCUGUUCAACCAGAACUUCAUAGACAUCUCCCCUUGUGUGGUCCCUUUGUGCCUGAGAAGUUCUUUUAUGACUCAGGAUAUACAUAGCCAUAAAAUAGGCACAUGAAUCAGAUAUUUGCCACAGGUAAGUCAUAAAGAAAUUUAUUUUAAAACAAUUAUUUGAGGGUCCUGGAGAGAGAACUUUUGGUAAAGUGUCUGCCUUACAAAUCAGAGGACCUGUAUUGGAUCCCGAGAAGCCACAUAAAAAAAACCUGUACGUGGUGGCACCUGUUUGUAAUCAUAGCUCCGAGGAGGAAGAGACAGAUGCUGGGGGCUCACUAGCCAGCCUGCCUCAUCGAUUUGACGAGUCCUAGCAGGUCAGUGAGAGACCUUAUCUCAAAAAAUGUGGAAAGCACCUGUGGAACCUCAGCUGAGAUUGAUCUCUGACUUCUAGAUACAUGCACGUGUGUGCACACAAGCUUCUACUUAUGCACGCAUGUGAGCACACACAUACACACAACACAAUCUUUUGGUAUACACAUAAUUUAGAGUUUAUUAGAAAUUGAAGUAAAUUUGCAUGCUCCAGAUAUGAAUUCACGUGUUUGUUUUUACAUAAGAAUUAACCUUGGCUGGAUAUUGUUACUGUGGAAUGAAGAGAAUAUUCAACACUGAUUUUCAGAAUUGAUCAUAUUUUGAUGUUAUGAUCAAAAAUGCCGAGAACAGUGCUUUGCAUGAAUACAUAGUGCGAAAUAGUAGGCACAUGUUUAGGGCCUUUUCAGAAAUUGCUGGGGAAGUCUUCCCAAGCCCAAAUGUACUCAAUAAUUAAAAAUAUUAAACAGAAGUCAGCAACUCAAACAGCAAUUUUGGAAAUCAAAUGUUUGAACCCGGUGCAAUCCAAAGUUCUACUGAUUCAAUACUUGCAUGCUAAUACUUGCAUUCUUCUGGAAUGUUCAGAACAUGGCAUAUACGGUAAAACACUAACUCAUGACAUACGAUGCAGGUUUCAGAUGACAUUUGUGUCUUUGUGGCACUUUCAGGGAAAAAUGUGUGUGUGGUGUGUUGAGAACCAAGGCCGCAGUGAAGUCAUACAAUGGAGCAAGAGCGAGCUCCUGCCAGAGACAUCCCAGACUCAGAUCAGGUUUGAUUUUAAAUUAAUUUUUGGUCCCUGUGUUGUCAGAGCCCUUUACUGUUUCAAAUUUCUUGUGGCACGCACUUUGAGUUGCACAACCCUGUGUGAGGUCAUGACCCGCAGUUUAAGAAUCUGAGGGCCAACGACCUGGAUCAGUGGAUAAGGACACUUUGCCACCAAGCCUGAGAACUUGGAUUCCAUCCCUGGAACCCACAUAGUGGGAAAGAGAAGAAGCAGUUCCUGCAAGUUGUCCUCUGAUCUCACUUGCAUAUUGUGCCACGUGCACACACAAAACUUAAUUAGUCAAUAUAAUAAUAAUAAUAAUAAUAAUAAAGCUCAUAAAUCUUGGCACUAGAUUACUAUUUAAGGAAAAAAUGGAGUGUCACCAUGCCCCCCCCCAUCAGGAGGAUGAGCUGUGCUGGAGACAGACCUGUAUUUUACCAAGACACAGUCCAUAACCCUCUACCUUCCCCAAGGUGACAAGUGGCAAGUAGGAAAACAGAAUUCAAAGAAACGAAAUUAUUGUCAUUUUCUUCAGUGCUGUGUUCCUCCGCUUUCAGAGUCCCUCUGAGAUGUUCAGCCCCGUGUGGCCUCAAGCUAGACUUCCAACUCUCUUCAGAGUCUUUGGAGAGAUGAAAGGUGACUGGGGACAGCACAGCUGUGCACUCCUCUGACUCGUGACAAAGGGGAGGGGGUGUUAGCCUCUCUGGGGACCGCUUCAUGGAUGGCUGUUUUGGUGUGCACCACGCAAUCUGCACAACCAAGCUGGAAAAGCUCUGGAUCUUUCAAAUCUCGGUCGUUUUCACUCACCACUUCAUCCUCUUUUCCUGGCUUUGAAAAUUUCUACUGGACAAGGGACUUUAGACGAAUUUGGAAAAUCAAAAUCCAAAACAAAACAAAAAAAAUGUUCUCUCUAAGCUGGGCGGUGACUGUACAUGCCUUUAACCCAGCACUUGGGAGACAGAGGCAGGUGAUUCUCUGUGAGUUCAAGGCUAGCCUGGUCUACAGAGAGAGUUCCAGGACAGCCAGGGCUGUUACAAAGAGAAAUCCUGUCUCAAAGAGAAGUCAUUAAGGGGGUGCAAGUAAGAAUCCAUUCAGGCUUGUCUGUCCCUGGCUGUACCCAGACUCUCUGGUCCUCUUCUCCAUGGCCCAUGUCUAGAUCUAGGUUUGACAGCAGAGAUGCAGAAGCAGUAGGAGCAGCUGGACCAGGAUCCAAAGAGAACCAUGCAGUUUAAUAAUAAGAGUAUUCGGCUAAAUGCCUCUUCUUAUUGGACUGCCUAUACUGUCUUAUCUCCUAGGCUCAGGAGACUGGGCUCUGCUAAAAUUGCUGCCGCAAUCCACACCAGGAGGACUGGAGGGCAGAGGUGAGGCUGGCAGCAUGAUUGUGCACACAAAUUUAUGCCCCUUGCAGAAUUAAUUCUUCAUUGAGGUUUUGCAUUCCUGCAGCAUUUCUUUCAAGGUCCAAAUGCUGAGUGUAGGAGAAACUGCUGCAUGGUCCAGGACUAGAGAGUACUGUCACGUCUCUCAGGGAAAAGUUAGACAUAGUAUUAAUAUUGUUCUUUAUUAUUAUGUAGGUACUAGAUGCCAGACCCCUAGACAAAUGCUCUGUGUCUCCCUGCCCUUCACCAAUUUGGUCAGGCAGAUGAGGAAACAGAGGUUCUUGGAGAUGAAGGAACCAUGGACCACUGGUGAUCUUCCAGGCUUUGGAAACUGAAAUCCUUCUUCCAAAUGGUGUUAGCAUUAACUUUAGUAAUUCCUUUUGCUUGGAAACCAUUCCUUCCGAAGGGAGAAAAAUUCCAUAUGCCAGGAAUAAAAAAUUAGAAGACCUGCUCAUUACUGACACAGGCAGCAGCCACAGCAGCAGCAGGGAGCCACACCUCCCAGUCCUUCCGAGCUCCCUGGAUGCUAUAUUAGCAUUCUCACACUCCCUCCGCAGACUCCACCUUGGAGAACAAAUACCCCGUGAGUCUUUUCAAGGAUGUUUCAGUGAGCCUGCCUCCCUCCAUAUCCCUCCCCAUUUGCAGUUUUCAGGACAAACACAGCUACCAGGUGGUCUGCGGAUGGAGAGGGAACAUUAUGGGAUGGUCUCACUGGGUUACCUGCUCUGUGGUACUCAAUUCCACAGGUCUGGUAGGUUCACUGCACACUGGCCUGUGGUUUGUCAUCUCCAUGGUUUGUCAUGGCCCUGGGGAGAAGUGGGGUCAGCUACAUGUUGUGAUUAACCACCCGUGGGUUUUCAGAGCUCACAAAGGAAUGGGAAACUGGAGAAAACAGAAGCCCGCUACUCUUUCUGAGUCAUCUGGAAGCUGUCUUCCAUUACAGCAGAGACAUAGAACUCUCAAACUCCUAUAAGAGAGCAAGCCUUCUGGGCUCAAGACACAACAGUACUGACCAAUCCUAUUAACACUGAAUUAGACCAUACAAGACAAUUUAUGCUUCUUCCCCAGGGGUUGCUUCACGGAACUGUGAGAUUGGACAUUGAGCCACCUAAGGAGUACCGCCAGAUGGAUUAAAGAUGUGGGAGAUAUAUAUGUUUAUUUAUCCAUCAGCAUUUUUUUUUUUUUUGGCAGAGAACAUCCCAGUGUUUUGAUGAAGGAAUACCUUGUUCUGACUCAUGGAAAGGUACCAUAUGGUCUAACAGUGACUCUGUUACUCUUCUUGAUGGAGAAGGCAGCUGGACCACUGUGGACAUCAGUAGGUGAAAUGUCUGUCAAGAGAGGGAAGAGGACCUGGAUUCAAAGCUUGCUUUACCACUUAGGGUUCUGCACAUGUCCUCUACUGAUGAAUUUGGUGUCUUCUCUAUCACAAGAAUGAGAACAGUGGUACCAGCAUCUAAGCGUGUUGUUUGGUGUGUGUGUGUGUGUGUGUUUAUCUGGUCUUUUGUUAGCCACAAUGCCAGAGCAAUCAUUUCACUAUUGAUAUUAUUAAUCUACUGUCACAUUGUUAUAAACUGAGAGAUUCUAUGUUGUCACCAGGGCCCUUGGCUGGCUAUGUGCCCACACCAAUUUUCUCAUCUCUUUUGGCCAGCCCCUAAAUAAGAAAAUGACUUCCCAGUGCUUAAACUGGCCAAAAAUUUCAAUGUCAUAUGAAGGGUAUCCAUGACCAAGACCCAGAAUAUCUAUCUGGUGCCAAUACCUGAGGCUUCAGAGUGCUCAGUGUUGACUAUGAUGAAACUCUAUGAGGUCACCAGAAGAAAAUGAUUACAUAGUCGUGGGAUUCCCAGGCACGUCUUCGCUUCCUCGGCCUCUGACCAGCUUUGCACUCGGUGGUAAGUGCUGCACUCAGCCAGGAAGCAGGAGUGGAUGCAGCAAUGGAGUUAGAUGUGCCAAGUAGACCGAAAUAGCCAACUCCCAACAUCAUAUUGUAGACCACCAGGUCUUUCUCAGCUGCCAGAUCAAGAGGAAAAAAAUCACAGAUGAACAGUGUGAGAAAAUUUUUGGGAUGGACAAGGAGAAGGCCUGAUCAGGUGAUCUCCAUCAGAGACUGCAGAGCCACAAGGCCAAACCAUGGUACAAGACAGGCUGUGGAAGCAGUUAGUGUAGUUAUUGGUGACCUCCCCAGGAGAGUCCCCUGUCGCAGGAGGAUGUCAUAAGAUGACCAUUUGUUGGCCAUCUACAAACAGUAGAAACCAGGGGGCUGGAGGCCGGAGGUAAUGUUGGUUCUGAUCAGGGUUAGGGGAAGCCUAUGAAAAGAAGCGAAGACAGUGGUUCCACAAAGGGAGCUGGCAGCCACACACCAACAGGCCCACCAUAUCUGUGAACAUGAUGAGUCAGUGCUGUUGGCCACCCAGGGAAAGUUCCCAUCAACAGUUCUAGUUCCUGUCACCAGGGUGCAUUUGUGACCACUUUAGACGGGACCAGCCCUUGUCCACGACUUAAUCUGGGUCCUUCUGAAUACACUUCAGUUGUGUCUUCCGUGGACAAAGGGUAUCCGAAGAGAGAUGAAUGUCACUUGGAGUGACACACUGGUGCUUAGGCCUUUGAUGACCUAUAACUCAAGUUUGUAAGAAAUGCUCUUGACUCAUCUGGGUCUGGUAUGACAGUUAUGACUGUCAUAACUUGCUAUCUGGGGAGGGCAUUGUUCUAAUAUGACCCCAAGAUUCUCAUUCCUUGGUACAAACACCAUGAACCCUCCUUUUGGGAGUGUUUGGUACAUGUUGUCAUGAUGGACAGUGGCUCCAAGAAUUUGUAUUAAAGGGCAAAGCUGUUAAGUUAUGGGCUUGGAUCUUAAAUGCCCACACGUAAAAGACUUGGUUGCCAGCCUUUGACAGUAUUGGGAGGUGUGACCUAGAGGAAGGAAGAGGGCACUGGGAGUGUGAUCUUGAUGAGGAUAUUGAGGUCAUUGGCUCAAUUUGAUAUGGAAUCCUGGCUCAUUCCCUUCUUCUGUCUUCUGCUUUCCAGCUGCCAUGAUAGGCGUGAUCUUGACUGGCAGCAUGCUUCCACCGUGGUACUCUGUCUGGCCACAGGCCCAAGGAGAUGAGGUUCAGGGUUGUGGGCUGAAACUUCUGAGACUCUGUGACAAAAUCAACCUUUUUCUUUAAGAUAGCACCGCAAUGGAAAGCUGACUGACGGAUGUUAGGAUAGUCACUGUAGUUACGUGCAGUACAGAAAAAAAAGACACCAUCACCCGGCAGCUGGAGAGAGGUUUCCCUGCUGCCUUAGAAGUAGGCUGCCAUGUGGUCAAGUGACAUCUGGGAGCUGAGACCGAACUCAGCUGACAACAGCAGGAAGCCUGCAGUUCAAGCUUUAAGGAACAACUACAGCGAACUGCAUUCUGCAGCUAGAACGUGAGUUUGGAAAAGAACUCCAAGCCUGACGUGAGUCUGCAACUCUUACCAGGACCUUGAUUUCAGAGUAGAGGGCUUAGCCAAAGUGUGCCUGGACUCCUGACCUGUGCACGUGGCAUAUACUAAACACGUGUUGCUUGAGUCACCGUGUCUAUGGCAAUCGGUGACACAGCAAUAAAAGCUAAUAGAGGGUAAUUGGACGCGUCACUUGGCUUUUCUGACAUCCCAGUUUUCUUUCUUUCUUUCUUUUUUUAAAAAAAUUUCUGAAAUAAAUAUUCCAACUCAAUUUAGUGAGAUAACCUAUCUAAAGGAGUUUUAUAUAUUGUCAACUCAUUAACACCAGUGAAAACGGUUUAUUAACAAUAUGCAAUUACACAAUAAAUUA